ensembl:lncRNA
UGUUUUAGAAGCUGCUGAUUAUUUUGAUAAUGUCUUUUUCAUGCAGUGGGCUGAUCUGUCUGCACUACGUGGAAUUUUUGCAGAGAUUGAUUCUUUGGCUAAGACGAAUGAAGAACCAUGGAGCACAACUGAUGAUGAAUGCCGAAUGUGCCUGUUUGAGUCGUCUGGGUUUGAUGAUGGGGUACAUGCACAGGUCAAUGAUGAACAUGUUCAAGGUGGGGGUGUGGCUAUGGAGACUGCUGAUUUAAAGGCUGUGCAACCCGGACCCCACUGGCUUCAAGAGUAUGCCGUCUAUCUGACCGGAUUGAAUCUGACCUUCCUACACGUCGGAGAGGACAGUGAGCUGGAGGUGGACACUGCUAUGAGAGACGACGGAUGGCCUGUAUCAACACAGAUCCGUUUAAACCCUGCAUCGCUGGCCAUCCGUCGUCUCUCAUAGCAGUGUCCACCUCCAGCUCACUGUCCUCUCCGACGUGUAGGAAGGUCAGAUUCAAUCCGGUCAGAUAGACGGCAUACUCUUGAAGCCAGUGGGGUCCGGGUUGCACAGCCUUUAAAUCAG